UACGUAGGGUGCGAGCGUUAAUCGGAAAUUACUGGGCGUAAAGUGUGACGCAGGCGGCGUCGCAAGUCGAAGUGUGAAAGCCCCGAGCCUUAACUUGGGAAUUGCGCUCGAAACUACGAUGCUGGAGUGUGGCAGAGGAAGGUGGAAUUCCCAGUGUAGAGGUGAAAAUUCGUAGAUAUUGGGAAGAACACCGGUGGCGAAGGCGGCGAGCUGGUCCAUUACUGACGCUGAGGCGCGACAGCGUGGGGGAGCAAACAGG
rnacentral:rRNA from 1 species